rnacentral:other from 1 species
UACAUCCUGCGAUGUACGUUACGGCUAUUCGUUGUUUUGAACCAAUGGCUGUUUCUAGGGAGUUCAAUAUUGAGGCGCGGCUGACAUGCCCCCGAAAGGGGACUUCAAAAACGCAUCUGUGGACACCCACCUGCGAGAGCGGGUUCAGAAACAUGUUAGUCGGACGGCAUUUGCGGGGUUUUU